rnacentral:rRNA from 1 species
ACUAAACAGCUAGCUCAAAACACUAAAAGUAAAAUUAACAACAUAACAAAACCACCAUAAACUAACAACAAUUACUAAACCAUUCGACCACCCCAGUACGGGCGACAGAAAAGGACUAUGAAGCCAUAGACAAAGUACCGCAAGGGAAAGCUGAAAGAGAGCUGAAAAAGCGCACUCAAGUAAAUAAAAGCAGAGACUAAAACUCGUACCUUUUGCAUCAUGAUCUAGCCAGUACCCCCAAGCAAAGAGCCCUCUAGUUUGAAACCCCGAAACCCGGACGAGCUACUCCGGGACAGCCUAUUAUAGGGCCAACCCGUCUCUGUGGCAAAAGAGUGGGAAGAUCCCCGAGUAGAGGUGAAAGACCUACCGAGUCAGGUUAUAGCUGGUUGCUCAAGAAAUGAAUAGAAGUUCAGCCCCAUAAUACCCUUAACCAAAAUAGUCCUACUUAAAUUAGGCAUGAGGAUAACCAUGGGAGUUAGUCAAAGGAGGUACAGCUCCCUUAACCAAGGACACAACCUUCACAGGAGGCUAAGAAAUACAAUCAAUUAAAGGCCACAGGUUUCGGUGGGCCUAAAAGCAGCCAUCCGCAUAGAAAGCGUUAAAGCUCAAACCACAAUUUAAGCCUAUUAUAACAUUAAAUCACCAACAACGCCCCUAAUUUAUACCGAGCCCUUCUAUGCCCCCAUAGAAGAGACCCUGCUAGAACGAGUAAUAAGAAGAACGAACUUCUCCCUGCACAUGUGUAAGUCGAAUCGGACCCACCAUCGACAAUUAACGAACCCAACAAAAGAGGAAAAUGCAUAACUGCCCAAUAAAGCCAAGAAAACCACGCAAAACCCAAUCGUUACCCCCACACAGGAGUGCUUAGUUAAAGGGAAAGACUUAAAGAAUAAAAAGGAACUCGGCAAACCCAAACCCCGCCUGUUUACCAAAAACAUCGCCUCCUGCCCACAACAAUAUAGGAGGUCCCGCCUGCCCUGUGACCAAAAGUUUAACGGCCGCGGUAUUUUAACCGUGCAAAGGUAGCGCAAUCAAUUGUCUUUUAAAUGGAGACCUGUAUGAAUGGCAUAACGAGGGUUUAACUGUCUCUUUUUUCCAGUCAAUGAAACUGAUCUGCCCGUGCAGAAGCGGGCAUAUUAACACAAGACGAGAAGACCCUAUGGAGCUUUAGACGCCCACCAACUAUGAAAAGAGACCAGAUUAAUGGAAGCCCAAACAACAUAGCCCUGGCACAAACGUCUUCGGUUGGGGCGACCACGGGGGAAAAUAAAGCCCCCAAGAGGACAGGGGAACACCCUAGAACCAAGAGUUACAGCUCUAAGUCACAAAACAUUUGACCGAUUAAUGAUCCGGCCCACGCCGAUCAACGAACCAAGUUACCCUAGGGAUAACAGCGCAAUCCCCUCCCAGAGUCCAUAUCGACGAGGGGGUUUACGACCUCGAUGUUGGAUCAGGACAUCCUAAUGGUGCAGCCGCUAUUAAGGGUUCGUUUGUUCAACGAUUAAAGUCCUACGUGAUCUGAGUUCAGACCGGAGUAAUCCAGGUCAGUUUCUAUCUGUGAUGCCACCCUUCCUAGUACGAAAGGACCGGAAUGAUGAGGCCCAUGCUGAAAGCACGCCUCCCCCCGACCUGCUGAAAUCAACUAAAACAGACAAAGGGGGGCCACACCCCAGCCUGAGAAAAAGGCA